rnacentral:rRNA from 1 species
GCCGCGUGCAGGAUGACUGCCCUAUGGGUUGUAAACUGCUUUUGUCCAGGAAUAAACCUAAAUACGUGUAUUUAGCUGAAUGUACUGGAAGAAUAAGGAUCGGCUAACUCCGUGCCAGCAGCCGCGGUAAU